CAGCAGCCGCGGGAAUACGAAGGGUGCAAGCGUUACUCGGAAUUACUGGGCGUAAAGCGUGCGUAGGUGGUGGUUUAAGUCCGUUGUGAAAGCCCUGGGCUCAACCUGGGAAUUGCAGUGGAUACUGGGUCACUAGAGUGUGGUAGAGGAUAGUGGAAUUUCCGGUGUAGCAGUGAAAUGCGUAGAGAUCGGAAGGAACAUCUGUGGCGAAGGCGACUAUCUGGGCCAACACUGACACUGAGGCACGAAAGCGUGGGGAGCAAACAGGAUUAGAUACCCCGGUAGUCCCUGUCUCUUAUAU
rnacentral:rRNA from 1 species